AUACGAAGGGGGCUAGCGUUGUUCGGAAUUACUGGGCGUAAAGCGCGCGUAGGCGGAUUGGUCAGUUAGGGGUGAAAUCCCAGGGCUUAACCCUGGAACUGCCUCUAAUACUGCCAGUCUUGAGUUCGGGAGAGGUGAGUGGAAUUCCUAGUGUAGAGGUGAAAUUCGUAGAUAUUAGGAAGAACACCAGUGGCGAAGGCGGCUCACUGGCCCGAUACUGACGCUGAGGCGCGAAAGCGUGGGGAGCAAACAGGAUUAGAUACCCGCGUAGUCC
rnacentral:rRNA from 1 species